UUUAAUAAUAUUAUUUCAGAUAUUUUAUUUGAUGACUUAAUUAUUUAGUUCCAAGUUGUCAUCAUCUCUAUAGAGCUGCUGUCUGACAACAACAAAAAAAAUCACAAUUUUAGUAGUUCUUCAAAGUAAAUAAGGCAUUGUUUUUAUGACUGCUGAAUACCAACUAUCAAUCACUUAGAUGGUGUAUUUUCAGGUAGCGAUACCUCAAAGCAACUGCUCUCUAUCCCUCUUAAUAGCGAGUUCUUCUUCUGUCUCUCUCCGUUUCUGUGCUCCCCGCAUAGACCAGACAAGUAGACGAGCAAUGGGUUAUGGUUAUUGUAGUUAAUUACCACAUUUUCUGCGCGUAACAAUGUAGAAUAUUGGCUUGUUGGAAACUACAUUGCGCAUUUCAGGCGUGAUCUGAUUCAUCUCUAGAGAAACUGUGCAUUGAGCUCACAGAAAAAACCCUAACGAAAUGGAAUCCAAAUACUUGAAUCGAUGGCGUUGGCCAAAUAGUUGUUUAAAAAAUGAAAAAUAACACAUUUCGGAUAAUCGCUCAGCACUAGGUGUUGUGUGUUAGAACAAGGUGCUGAGGAUUGUGGGUUAGAACAAGGUGCUGAGGAUUGUGGGUUAGAACAAGGUGCUGAGGGUUGUGGGUUAGAACAAGGUGCUGUGGGUUAGAACAAGGUGCUGAGGGUUAGAACAAGGUGCUGUGGGUUAGAACAAGGUGCUGAGGGUUGUGGGUUAGAACAAGGUGCUGAGGGUUGUGGGUUAGAACAAGGUGCUGAGGGUUGUGGGUUAGAACAAGGUGCUGAGGGUUGUGGGUUAGAACAAGGUGCUGAGGGUUGUGGGUUAGAACAAGGUGCUGAGGGUUAGAACAAGGUGCUGAGGGUUAGAACAAGGUGCUGAGGGUUGUGGGUUAGAACAAGGUGCUGAGGAUUGUGGGUUAGAACAAGGUGCUGAGGAUUGUGGGUUAGAACAAGGUGCUGAGGAUUGUGGGUUAGAACAAGGUGCUGAGGAUUGUGGGUUAGAACAAGGUGCUGAGGAUUGUGGGUUAGAACAAGGUGCUGAGGAUUGUGGGUUAGAACAAGGUGCUGAGGAUUGUGGGUUAGAACAAGGUGCUGAGGAUUGUGGGUUAGAACAAGGUGCUGAGGAUUGUGGGUUAGAACAAGGUGCUGAGGAUUGUGGGUUAGAACAAGGUGCUGAGGGUUAGAACAAGGUGCUGAGGGUUAGAACAAGGUGCUGAGGAUUGUGGGUUAGAACAAGGUGCUGAGGAUUGUGGGUUAGAACAAGGUGCUGAGGAUUGUGGGUUAGAACAAGGUGCUGAGGAUUGUGGGUUAGAACAAGGUGCUGAGGAUUGUGGGUUAGAACAAGGUGCUGAGGAUUGUGGGUUAGAACAAGGUGCUGAGGAUUGUGGGUUAGAACAAGGUGCUGAGGAUUGUGGGUUAGAACAAGGUGCUGAGGGUUGUGGGUUAGAACAAGGUGCUGAGGAUUGUGGGUUAGAACAAGGUGCUGAGGAUUGUGGGUUAGAACCAGGUGCUGAGGAUUGUGGGUUAGAACCAGGUGCUGCGGAUUGUGGGUUAGAACAAGGUGCUGAGGGUUGUGGGUUAGAACCAGGUGCUGAGGAUUGUGGGUUAGAACAAGGUGCUGAAGAUUGUGGGUUAGAACAAGGUCCCACUUCGGCCACUUAAUACAUACUCUGUCCAUUCUGCCAGUUCUGUGAGUCACUACGGAGUAAACACCUGCUAGACGACCAAAUUAUUUAUUAGAAACAUGCUACUUUCAUUUGACGACAGAAUAAAUCAAAAGGGAAGCACUGAUCAUGCAGAUAACUAAAGUCCUCUUCCUCCCGCUCACACUCUC